CAGUCAGCUGACAGUCAGCACUUGUGCAGUGUCAGUCUACUCGUGCGAUAGUGUAUUUACUGCAAAACAAAGCUUAAAAUCCGCACAAUGACCACAGUUCCUCCGGAAAUCAAAGUGUUUUUCAGUGGGAAUGAAAGGUGAGCAUGUUGAUUAUUGUGGCUAUGCUGUGCUGCCAAUGGCAAUAGAGCAGAAUAUUCUCGCUGCAGUUUCUGUGAGUGACUCCAAAGCAAUCCAGCUGGCCAACACUGAGCCCAAAUACAAUGUCUGUGGAUGGCAUCUCCAUUGACAGAGAUGAUCCUCAUUUGAGUGAGAGGAAUCCAGGGAUGUGUUGUAUGGUAGACGGGACUAUCCCGGCCAGCUCGGGUCUGUCCAGCUCCAGUGCCCUGGUGUGCUGUGCUGCUCUGGUCUCGACGGAGGCCAAUCAGAAGUCUCUGUCUAAGGUGGCCCUUACUGUAAACCCCCUUACAUGCAUUACACACAACUGCUGCUGAUCAUAGAUGUGCACUGAUGUGAUUUCAGGUGACUCUUGCAGAGACGUGUUCCCAGUGUGAGCGUUAUAUUGGCACUGAGGGGUUAGGAAUGGAUCAGUCCAUUUCUUUUCUCACAGAGGAGGGGACAGUAAGCCAUGUGUUAAAUAUUUCUUCUUUCAAUAUAUGCCAUUUGAUUAAUUUUUGGUAUUAGGGUCAAUAGCUGAUCCUCUUUUUUGUGACCACAAAAAAAAAACCAAUUUAUGUAAAAUAAUGACAGAAUGUUUU